ACACGUCAAAUUGAUUUUCAUCUAUUUUAUUUACAAAAAAAGGAAAAAAUGGGAAACAGCCGAAAAGGGAAACGUAAAGCGAAUUACAUGGAAGCAGCGGGAAAAAUGUCAGGCAGUCUGUCAUGGUUCCACACCCUCCCGGUUCCAUUCCCCUCAUGUGUCACGGGUUUCGAGCCUAGUUUGCAUAGCUCCCCACCCCAACCCCCGGUUCACGGAAUCAAUCAGCGCGGAUAAAGGUGAUAAAUACCCCUGGAAUUACGACUCCAAUGCAAAAGGAUAAGCUUGUACGGGUCAAGGAUAUAGAUAUAGUGAAAAUAGUACUGGAACUAUUUUGGGCCAAGAAAUAACAAUCAGAAGUAAUUCAAACUAAAUAUUAUGCAAAUAAGGUGCUACGCUACCCUGACCACUCACGGAAACCGUUGCCAUUUCUAAGUUUAUAACACCUAUAACAAUGAUUUAUUUCUGAGCUGUGCAAGACUAACACUUAAGUCUAGGACUAAAUAACACAUACG